CGGGGCUUUGUGGGGGCUGGCGCCUCCCUUCGCCGCCGAGUGGCGCGACCGGGUCCGAGCUCCCGGCGGUGGCCGGCCUGCGGGGAGGGGCGGCCCCUACGUGGCUCUGGCUCGCUUUUAAGUAAACAGCCACACAAACAAGCUUUUGUUUUCAGGCUAAAAGGCUUCCUUCUUUCUUUUCCUCCUGGGUUCUGGUAGCCACCCGGUGCUGAGCUCGGGCCUAAUGACUGCUCUGGGCUAGAACCCGUGCAGAAGACAGUAGAGUGGGUGGGCCUGGGCCUGGCCGCCCUUCCGAGGCCAGUUCUCACCGCUGUGGCCCCCACAGGAGACGAAGGAAGGGGCUGAGGCGGCUAGUUCUGCAUCACUUACUGUGGUCCUGAUCUUCAAAUCGGAGAACUGCCUGCGGCAGAAUACAAGAGGGCCCAUCCAGCGCCCACCGAGCAGACAAAAGACCCAAAGCCGGAAGGAGGGGGAGCUUGCAGGGUACUUUGACAGCCCUGUGGAGACUGGCUGCUUCAGAAACCACACCGCCCAGAAGAAGCUUUCCCAACUGGCUGACCUGCUGCGCAACCCCCGCCUGCCCUCGCCCUCCACAGUGCACUCUUCUGCAAGGCGGUGAUGAAAUUCACUUCUUCAGUUCAUCUUCAACAAUUCAUUGGGUUAACACAGAUUCAUUGUAUGACAGGUAACAUAUUCCCAUCCAUGGAGAGAAAUUAUCUUUCGAACAAAAGAAAGGAAAUAAAUCUGUUCCCAAUUGUCAA